AGUAAACUUUUGUGUUGUAGCCUGUGAUUCACGGCACACACCGGUGAGAUGGUGAAAAAAAUAUUCUGCAGGCUUUUGCUUUUAGGUCUCUUAUAUUUCUCAGUAUAUUUCUGGUACUCAAAUGUUACUGAAUCGAGUAGGAAUGCUUUGCUGUCCAGUUUGAAGGAUAACCAAACUGAAGAUGGAUUAAUAAAAUCAGGAGUCUAUUAUAGAGUUAUCCGCUUGCAGUCACUUCGGAAAAGAACAAAUAAUGAAAGAAAAUAGGUGAAUAACAGAGGAAUGUCCAUCCCUCGUCCGUACGGCGUAGUCGGAAAAUUCCGGAAUGAUCCAUCACGAAAGAGACAAAAAUAACAACGAACAUCCUUCGAGGUUCAAGAGAAUAGACCAUUACGUUAAAGACGAUGGAUACUGAUGGCCUCCACUCUCUCGAGUACGAAGUUGUCGCAGUUGAAAAGCAUGACCUGUUCACAAAGACUACAGUAGAUGUGGGGAUGACACCCAAAGAUAAAGAAGACAUGGACAAAGGAUGAAUGAGGAAGAGAUGAACUAGCAGGGCUGGAUCUUGGGCCUGACUGAUUAGUCUGUAUGUAGCCUCGCUACUUUUAUAGCGCUACUUUUAUAGCCUCGCUACUUUUAUAGUCUCGCUACUGUUAUCCACUACCUUUUUACUGUUUUUAUUUCUUUAUUUAUCUAUUGUUCACCUAAUACUUUUUAUGCACUAUUGGUUAGAGCCUGUAAGUAAGCAUUUCGCUAUAAGGUCAACUACACCUGUUGUAUUUGGCGCAUGUGACAAAUAAACUUUGAUUUGAA